UUUUGACUCUUCAUCUUAUUUGAAAUUUUUUACGAUUAAUAUUUUUAUUGUUACUAGAUAGUAAAAUAUGAAUAAUACUUUAUGUGUGACUAUUUUUUUAAGUUUUAUACAAAUUUGUCAAAUAAGUCGAAUGGUCAAAG
rnacentral:pre_miRNA from 1 species